AACGAACGCUGGCGGCAUGCCUAACACAUGCAAGUCGAACGAGACCUUCGGGUCUCGUGUCGCACGGGUGCGUUACGCGUGGGAACCUGCCCUUAGGUUCGGAAUACCUCCCUGAAAGGGGUGCUAAUACCGGAUAAUGUCUUCGGACCUAAUAUCUAUCGCCGUUGGAUGGGUACGUGUUGGAUUAGCUAGUUGGUAGGGUAAAAGCCUACCAAGGCGACGAUCCAUACCUGGUCUGAGAGCAGGGUUAGCCACUCUGAGACUGAGACAAGACCCAGACUCUUACGGGAGGAAGAAGUGGAGAACACUCGACGUUCUGGAAAAGCCAGACCCUGCCAAGCCGCGUAGUUGAAGUAGGCCUUAGGAUUGUAAAGCUCCUAGAACAGAGAUCAUAAUGACUGUACCGGAAGAAUAAGCGCCGGCUAACUCCGUG
rnacentral:rRNA from 1 species